ACGCGCGUUCCCAUUUUGUUGGUUUCUGAGAUCGCCGUAAUGAUUAAUAGGGAUAGUUGGGGGCAUUCGUAUUCCGUCGUCAGAGGUGAAAUUCUUGGAUUGCCGGAAGACGAACUAUUGCGAAAGCAUUUGCCAAGGAUGUUUUCAUUGAUCAAGAACGAAGGAAGGGGGAUCGAAAACGAUCAGAUACCGUUGUAGUCUCUUCUGUAAACUAUGCCAAUUGGGGAUUAGCUCAGGAUUUUUAAUGACUGAGUUAGCACCCGAAGAGAAAUCUUUAAAUGAGGUUCGGGGGGGAGUAUGGUCGCAAGGCUGAAACUUAAAGGAAUUGACGGAAGGGCACCACCAGGUGUGGAGCCUGCGGCUUAAUUUGACUCAACACGGGGAAACUCACCAGGUCCAGACACAAUAAGGAUUGACAGAUUGAUAGCUCUUUCUUGAUCUUGUGGUUGGUGGUGCAUGGCCGUUCUUAGUUGGUGGAGUGAUUUGUCUGGUUAAUUCCGAUAACGGACGAGACCUUAACCUGCUAAAUAGACCAGCCGGCUUUGGCUGGCUGCUGUCUUCUUAGAGGGACUAUCAGCGUUUAGCUGAUGGAAGUUUGAGGCAAUAACAGGUCUGUGAUGCCCUUAGAUGUUCUGGGCCGCACGCGCGCUACACUGACAGAGCCAGCGAGUCUACCACCUUGGCCGGAAGGCCUGGGUAAUCUUGU
rnacentral:rRNA from 1 species